rnacentral:lncRNA from 1 species
AAGAAGUAAGAAAUUUGAAGAGUUUAGUUGAAGUAGACUUCAGUGGCCUUAAUCUUUCAGGUGCCCUUCCUUCAUCUCUUUGCGGCCUAACCAAACUAGUCUCUCUUUCAGGUGCUCAGAAUCAAAUGCAUGGUUCCAUUCCCUCUGAAAUAGGAAUUUUGAAAAAUUUGAAACAUCUUGCCCUUGGGUCCAACCGGCUGACUGGUCAAAUCCCUCCGACCCUUGGCAAUAUGACUGCUCUAGUUUCUUUGGACCUCUCUUCUAACCAAAUAAGUGGUUCCAUACCUCUUCAACUUUCCGUUUUACCUUCUCUAAAAUUUUUAGAUCUUUCCUAUAAUGCUUUGGAAGGUGAACUUCCGUGUGAGCUUGUCAAUAAGUUUGGUUCAGAAAGUUUUGUCGGCAAUCCAGACUUGCAUAGACAUGACCCCCCAUACUACAUCAUAGGUGUUGGCGUAACCUUGUUGGUGUUCGCAAUAACUGGCGGAUUAGUAAUUUAUAUCUGUUGCUUCAAGAAAGUGGAAGUUGAGCUGAUGGACAAUAAACAUGGAGACAUUUUUAGAAUUUGGAACUAUGAUGGAAAUAUGGCUUAUGCAGACAUAAUUAAAGCAACCAAUGAUUUUGAUGUCGGUUAUUGCAUCGGGACAGGGGGUUAUGGCAGCGUGUACAGAGCUCAGUUGCCAAGUGGGAAAGUAGUGGCUUUGAAAAAGCUUCACCGUUUGGAAGGUGAGAAUCCAAAUUUUGACAAGAGCUUUAGGAAUGAAGCCGACAUGCUUUCUAAAAUCAGGCAUCGGAACAUCGUAAAGCUCUUCGGAUUCUGUCUGCACAAGCGAUGCAUGUUUCUGAUUUAUGAGUAUAUGGACAGAGGAAGCUUGUUUUGUAUCUUGAGAGACGAAACUGAAGCUGUGGAGCUGGACUGGGUUAAAAGAGUGAAUUUGAUCAAGGGCAUUGCCAGUGCAUUGUCCUACUUGCAUCAUGAUUGUGAUCCGCCAAUCAUUCACAGAGAUGUAUCAAGCAACAACAUUCUUUUGAAUUCACAGCUCGAAGCAACUCUUUCUGACUUUGGAACUGCGAGGAUUUUGGAACUUGAUUCAUCAAAUCAAACGGUCAUUGCAGGCACCUUUGGUUACAUGGCACCAGGUAGGUUACCUUGUUAUCCCAGAUCACUUUCUUUUUUUCACAUUGUUUUCCAUAUUUUCUUGAUGCACUAUUAGGCUUAACUUUCAAGGACAGAAAAGAAAAAAUUCUUCCAACUGAAACGAUUUUUUUUUUUUGGAAUAGUAAGUCUAGAGUUGUCCAGUUGAGAUUAACUUUAUUUUAAUCCAAAUAUAUACUUACUUGUCAAUGCAGAGCUAGCCUAUACCAUGGUGGUCACUGAAAAGUCCGAUGUGUAUAGCUUUGGCAUUGUGGUGUUGGAAACGCUGUUUGGAGAGCAUCCACGAGAAUUCCUUUCUUGCAUAUCAUCACAACCCAAUGAACCAAUAAUGCUGAAGGAUCUUCUUGAUACCCGUCUGCCCCCUCCGACUAACCCUCUGGUCGUUCGUAAUGUGGUUCUCGCGACAGCGUUAGCCCUGGAUUGCAUCAACGCAAACCCGAAAUGUCGACCAACAAUGCAGCAAGUGGUGAACCGAUUUGAAGAGAGCAGGCGAGAAUCAACUAGGCCUUUGCACACCAUUGCUGUGAAUCAGCUUGUUAGUCCACCAGUACUUUCACUGCCUGACCAAACCUGCGCAGAUGGGACGAGUAGCUUAAGCACCAUAAAUGAAUUCCAUGUGGAUAUCUCUGCGACUCUGCCAUCAUCCAAUUUUUCUAUCCAUGUUUCUACCUAAACAACAUUGACAUCUGGUAGGAAACAGAAUAAGAUCGUGCUUUGGAAAAUGGAAACUUGACAAAGCACUUAGAUUGCUACAUACAGCCAUUUAGUGUGCUAAUGAAAAAAAAAUGUACUUGUUAAUGAACAAGUAGUUUAAGCACCAUGAGUGACUUUCAUGUGGAUACCUCUGCCAUCAUCCAAAUUUUCUAUCCAUGUUUCUACUUACCUAUAAUAUUUACACCAAAGGAGAAAUUGAAUUUACUUGUUGGCUUUAUGUAGAUGAAUUCUCGGCAGAGCAAUCCUUACCAAUCUAACACUUUGCAAUUCCGAGUCGAGAUAUCUAAACAUAGAAUGAUUUUCAAUCUGAAUUUAUUAUAUCACCUAUUAGUUUUAAUUCACCAAACUUAAACAAAUUCUAAUUCUCAAAACUUGCUUUACCAUUGUUUCUUCCCAAAAUCAUUUUCACCAAUAACAACCGCAGAAAAAAAAAACGGAUACCAAAUUUCCAAUUGUGGAACCUAUAUGCAACGGGGUACUAUUUUGGUGCUUGUGACUCCAUAAGUCCAUUGCGGCAAUUUUUUGCUUCCUCCUAGGAUGCCCUCCACCCCACCAAAAAAAAAAAAAAACCGGUUGCUCAUCAAUUAGGAGUUCCCUUAUUGCUUCCUGAUUUUUAACCAAAAGUGUAAAAUAGCUUAAGAAAAUGCUGUACCGUUACAAGAAACUCUGGGACACGCCAAGUACCCGUAGAAACCAAAGAAAAGAGCAAGUUGAUAUGUGCAGGAUGUUCUAUCGUUUCUGGGAAAAAAAAAAGAAAGAAGAAGAUACGUGCAGGAGGUCGUUGGGUUGGAGUGAUAUGGAUAUUUGCCUUGGGCUAGUGGGCUUAAGUUGGUAAAAAGGAUUAUUGGAUGGGUCUUCAUAAUUGGGUGGGCGCGGUCUUCUCUCUUCCUUUUUUUUUUUUUUUGAGUUUAUUAGAAAUAUAUCCUUAGAAUUCAUGUGAUAAAUUUGAUGUCUCAAAUCUGAAGUAUGAAUCCAUUAAAUUAUUGAAUUAUUAAAUAUUAAAUCUAAUACAUUUGAGUGCAUAUCACAUUCAGUGAUAAAUGAAUAGUUUAUCACUUAAUUUUGGGAGUAAGUUUUGUCUAGAAAAUUCAGUGCCACUUAAUUAGUUCAAAUGUUUAAUUUUUGGUUAUCAAACAGUCUAAAUAUGUUAAGAUCUGAAUCAAUUAAAUUUAAUGACUAAAUUAGUUUAUGUUAGAUUAAUCCAAGUCAACACUUAAAUUUUUUUUUUAGUGUAAGUGGAAGGGUUCAAACCAAUGACUUCUUAUUUACACUGCCUCCCCCGAACCAUUCAACCCUUCCCCUACCCCAACACUUAAAUUAAGUGGUUUAGAUUUUAAUAUGUUUAGAAGUGCUUGAUAACAAAAAAUAAAAUAUCUAAAUUAAUUGAGUGAUGCAGGAUUUUCUAAACAAAACUUGAUUCUAAAAAUAAAUAAUAAGCUAUUCACUUAUCACUUAAUGUGAUAUACAAUCAAAUGUAUCAGUUUUUUUUAAGUGGAAAAAGUGUUUCAGAUUUAGUAUUUACCAAUUCAAUAAUUUAAUAGAUUCAAUUUUCAAUUUUCAAACUUCAGUUUUAUUAAAUGCAUACUUAGUCUAUGAAAGUCUUACUUCCAAAUAUAUACUCUAGGGAUUAAUUUUGUUAGGUGAAGUUAGAUAAAUCUGAUGGCCCUUAAUCUCAAAUCUUAGCUCUAUCAUAUUGCUUGAUCCUAUUCAGGCAACAUUUUGGACGAGUAUAGUAGUGCUCUGUUAACAAAUGCUCAUUCCUACCAGUUCUUAUCAAUCUUAGCCAUCCACCAAGCUGCAGCAAUUAUAACUGCAUGCAGCUUGGUGGCUGUAGUGAAGUUAUCAGCAGCUGCAAAAGCAGAAGCAGCAGCAACCAAGAAUUUAGAAGCUGAGGACUGCUCAACAGCGACUGGUGGCCUGACACCAUCGCAUCAAGAAAUAUUUCUGGCCAUUAAAAGUGGCCUGGACUAGCAUGCAAUGAUGCCAGCAGUGUAACAGCGACACUGCUACCCGCAGGCUACACUAUAGGAGACAAAUUGAGCAAUUUCAGCUUCAGCUCUUUUCCGAGCCUCGUUAGACUUGAUCUCAUUGGAGCAGGACUCACUGGAAUCUUACCACCUGAAAUAGGUGCACUGUCAAAACUCACGUACCUCGAUCUGUCUUCCAACCAACUCACCGGUGAGCUUCCUAAUACAAUCUCAAACCUUACCAAAUUGGCCUAUCUUUACAUUACUCAGAAUAAUUUGUGUGGCGUUGUUUCACAGAAUAUUGGUAACUUGGUCAAUUGGUCGCCUUGGAUUUGAGCGAUAACAAUUUUUCUGGUAGUUUUCCUCCAGCCAUUGGUAGCAUGAAAAAAUUAGAAUAUCUUUCAGGUGCUCGGAAUCAAUUUGACGGUUCCAUUCCCCCUGAAAUAGUGAACUUGAAAAGCUUGAAUCAUCUAAAUCUUAGCUUCAACAGCCUCACAGGUCGGAUCCCUACAAACCUGGGCAAUCUGACAAGUCUAGUUUCUUUGCAUCUCCAAGUCAACCAAAUCAAUGGUUUAAUACCAUCCCCUCUCUUUCAUUUGACUAAUUUGACCUCUUUGGACCUCUCUUCUAACCAAAUCGGUGG